rnacentral:rRNA from 1 species
CGCGUGAGUAACCUGCCCUAGAGUGGGGGACAACAGUUGGAAACGACUGCUGAUACCGCAUAAGCCCACGGUGCCGCAUGACACUGAGGGAAAAGGAUUUAUUCGCUUUAGGAUGGACUCGCGUCCAAUUAGCUAGUUGGUGAGGUAACGGCCCACCAAGGCGACGAUUGGUAGCCGGACUGAGAGGUUGAACGGCCACAUUGGGACUGAGACACGGCCCAGACUCCUACGGGAGGCAGCAGUGGGGGAUAUUGCACAAUGGGGGAAACCCUGAUGCAGCGACGCCGCGUGGAGGAAGAAGGUUUUCGGAUUGUAAACUCCUGUCGUUAGGGACGAUAAUGACGGUACCUAACAAGAAAGCACCGG